GUCCACGCAGUAAACGAUGUUCACUAGGUGUUGGUCUAGUUUCGACUAGGUCAGUGUCGGAGCUAACGCAUUAAGUGAACCACCUGGGGAGUACAGUCGCAAGGCUGAAACUCAAAGGAAUUGACGGGGACCCGCACAAACGGUGGAGCAUGUGGUUUAAUACGACGAUACGCGUGGAACCUCACCCAGGCUUGACAUGUACGGGAAAGCCUUAUGAAAGUAGGGCCCUCCCACAAGGACUCGUACACAGGUGUUGCAUGGCUGUCGU
rnacentral:rRNA from 1 species